rnacentral:rRNA from 1 species
GACGAACGCUGGCGGCGUGCUUAACACAUGCAAGUCGAACGGAAAGGCCCUGCUUUUGUUGGGUGCUCGUGUGGCGAACGGGUGAGUAACACGUGAGUAACCUGCCCUUGACUUUGUUAUAACUUCAGGUAACUUGGUCUAAUACCGGAUAUGUUCUCCUGCUGCUUGGUUUGGGUUGGAAUGUUUCGGCGGUUGGGGAUGGACUCGCGGCUUAUCAGCUUGUUUGUGGGGUAGUGGCUUACCAAGGGUUUGACGGGUAGCCGGCAUGAGAGGGUGACCGGCAAAAUUGGGACUGAGAUACGGCACAGACUACUACGGGAGGCAGCAGUGGGGAAUAUUGCACAAUGGGCGGAAGCCUGAUGAAGCAAAGCGGCGUGCGGGAUGAAGGCCUUCGGGUUGAAAACCGAGUUAGAAUGUGACGAAGCGUGAGUGACGGUAAUGGGUAAAGAAGCAACGGCUAACUACGUG